rnacentral:lncRNA from 1 species
GCGAGCGCCGCGCGCUGCCCGGGUUCCCAUCCGCGCCUCUCCCUCCACACCUCCCAGCAAGCAGAGGGAGCCGGCUCUGGCCUCCGCCAGCCCAGAGAGGCUUCCACAGUGCAGCGGCGGGCUGAAGGGCUCCUCAAGCGCGGCCAGAGUGGACGCCGAGGCCGAGGAGGCGCGGAGAGCGAGCGAGGGCUGCUAGCCCAUGCAAUGGACUCCAUGAAGGUUCCUGCUUGAUUUGUGAAACAGCCCAGGAAUAAGGGACAUUCUCCUGGAUCAUUCUGCUUCGUGAGAGGAUGAGGGCUCAGGAAACCCAAGAAGAAAACUGAGCCAGAGGGAUGCAUGGACUAUAAAAUAUUAUUGCUAUGUUGGGAAAUAUCUGUAUACUAGGUAAUCUACUUAACUAUCGACUAUUCA